GCGACCGGAUUGGCGCAGAAGAACUGACACGAGAUGUGUCAAUUUUCAGGACACCAAAACCGGCCCUUGCAGCCAUCCUCUCCGCAAGACCUCCAUGUGAGGUUGAUUCCUGAUUUGCCCUAAAAAGUGGUUUGCUGCUGCCAUUGUCACUGAAGAUGCUGGAGAAUGGACAAGAGCUGAAUUCUUCGUUCAAGAAGCUUGACAUCACUGUUCUUGGGCUGGGUGAAGGAAGCAUCCAAUCCUCCAUCAAUGCUCUGCGGUUGUCAGUUCCGGCCAUGCUGGCGAGGUGUUUCUUAUCAGCUGCGCAAAGGAAAAGCAGGGUGCCACACAUGGAACAUGAUAGCAUAGCUGGAAAUAGAAACAGAAUUGACUGAAGAUCCAAGCACUCAUUUAACAUAUAAACACAUGAGCUCAGGAUA